rfam:Danio rerio chromosome 3, GRCz11 reference primary assembly.
GGGGAAUUAGCUCAAAUGGUAGAGCGCUCGCUUAGCAUGCGAGAGGUAGCGGGAUCAAUGCCAGCAUUCUCCA